ensembl:lncRNA
GAGAGAGAGAGAGAGCGCACCCUGCUCCUUCCCUUUCUUUGUUUGACUACUGAGUGCAGGAAAAAAAAGCAAUCGAGAGAAAGUGUGUAUGCAUGCAUGCGUGUGUGUGUGUAUGUAUGUAUGUGUGUGUGUGAGGGGGGGGUGACAGAGAGGCAAGAAAGAAAGGAGAGGAAACAGUGAAGACCACUCUCCUCCUUCUGAGGGCUGCGGAGAGCGAGCAAGCGAACGAGGGAGAGAGAGAGGAAGCACAAAUGCUGGAUAGAUUUGCUGAGCUGGACGCGACUGGCUGACACACACAAACACACACACACACACACGCACUCUGGACUGUGGAUUUAACUCCAGUGAAAACUCAACUGCUGCGGCGGCUGCUCCUAAAACCGAAGAACCCGAGGGAUAAACCCGCCCCCUCCACCCCAUCCACCGCAAGAUGAUUGGCUCCCAGGGCCGAAGCUGAGCGCCAGUUGACGAGAGAAUUGUUGCUAGAUGCUGAUUUGAAAGGCAUCGUCGAGAGUAGGCAGACAGUCGAGCGCCUCGUCUCAGGGUUGGUGUGUGUGGCCCCUCGCUCCGCUGCGGUGGAGGGCUUCACAGACACUGUGGCUGGAUGCAUCACACAGCAGAGCACUUUGUCGGGCGAAGCACACGGGAUGCCUUCCCUCUGGAUGGCCUCAACCGGGAACCAUGGCAACCCGUGAGCAACCGCUCCUGGGCCCCACCGUCCAGGUGUGCUCCCGGCGUCAAUCAACACCAGUUCCACCCCCACGCCCCCCCCAGUCAUGUGACCACGCUGAACCAUCCCAGUAAAUUUUACCCCAAUGG